CCAAAUUGGUGGUCGGUAAUUCCACUAAUUGGGAAUUUGAAAACAAAAAGGAAGAAAAAGUUUGGUUUAGCCUAUAACUUUUGACUAGCUAGAUAUACUGUUUCCGGUGCUGAAGGAUCUCAACUACUUUGCUCAUGGUGGGUCUUGCAUCUUUGUCUUCUUCUACACAUUGCAGAGCCAACAUUACCAGAAUUUCUAUCUCACCCUCAUCGUAGUCUCCU
rnacentral:misc_RNA from 1 species